rnacentral:rRNA from 1 species
AGGUGAAAUUUGGUUCCCAAUUGUGCUUGACUAUUUAUUUAAGGGGUUUAUAUUUACAGAAAUUUGAGUGGAGACCAGGAUUAGAUACCCUGUUAUUUCUUGUUGAAAGUUAAAAAGCUUAAAUAGUAAACAGUUAUGGGCUCGAAACUUAAAGAAUUUGGCGGUACUUUAGUCUAGUUAGAGGAACCUGUUCAAUAAACGAUAUUCCACGAAUAAUCUUACUCUUUCUUGUAAAUAACAGUUUGUAUACCUCCAUUAUUAGAUACUUUUAAAAGAAACUUAUUAGGAUAGAUAUAUUUUAAAUUUAAAAAUUUAGGUCAAGGUGCAGCUAAUGAGGGAGCAUGAAAUGGGUUACAUUAAGAUGAGUUUGAGGCGGAUAAAAGAAAUAAACUUUUUUUUUAAGAUGGAUUUAAUAGUAAUUUUAUUUUAAUAUGAUAAUUUGAUAGUAGCUCUAUAGUAAGUA